rnacentral:rRNA from 1 species
AAAGUAGGUCAUAGUGAUCCGGUGGUUCUGAAUGGAAGGGCCAUCGCUCAACGGAUAAAAGGUACUCCGGGGAUAACAGGCUGAUACCGCCCAAGAGUUCAUAUCGACGGCGGUGUUUGGCACCUCGAUGUCGGCUCAUCACAUCCUGGGGCUGAAGUCGGUCCCAAGGGUAUGGCUGUUCGCCAUUUAAAGUGGUACGCGAGCUGGGUUCAGAACGUCGUGAGACAGUUCGGUCCCUAUCUGCCGUGGGCGUUGGAUGCUUGAAGGGAGUUGCUCCUAGUACGAGAGGACCGGAGUGAACGAACCUCUGGUGUUCGGGUUGUCACGCCAGUGGCACUGCCCGGUAGCUAAGUUCGGAAUCGAUAACCGCUGAAAGCAUCUAAGCGGGAAGCGAGCCCUGAGAUGAGUCAUCCCUGACCCCUUGAGGGUCCUAAAGGGCCGUUGGAGACCACAACGUUGAUAGGUGGGGUGUGUAAGCGCAGUGAUGUGUUGAGCUAACCCAUACUAAUUACCCGUGAGGCUUAACCAUACAACACCCAAGAAGUGUUCU